rnacentral:lncRNA from 1 species
UUUUUUCUUUUUUUUUUUUUUUAAGGGCUGCUCCUGCGGCAUAUGGAGGUUCCCAGGCUAGAGGUCUAAUCGGAGCUGUAGCUGCCAGCCUAUACCACAGUCACAGCAACGCUGGAUUCGAGCUGCUUCUGCGACCAACACCACAGCUCACGGCAAUGCUGGAUCCUUAGCCCACUGGGCAAGGCCAGGGAUUGAACCCACAUGCUGAUGGAUACUAGUUGGUUCUUAAUCCACUGAGCCACAACGGGAACUCUGGUGGCCUCCCCUUGGACAUGGACUCACAUUCAGAGAGAGGCCUGUCAGGCCUGCCCUGGGCUCCCCCACAGGCUUCCUCGAGGCCGUGCAUUUCAGGGCAAACCUUCCCUCAAACCCCCUGGGAUGUUUCCCAUCCAGUUCCUCACACUAGAGUCACCCCUCAGCCACUUCCUGUUUCGCUACUGGCCACCUGCCCUCUCAGGUGUCCCCACCCCCACCCGGGCAUCCCCUCCCUGCUGUGGGCUCCCUCCACCGGCUCCUCCUUCCCUCCUCACCAGGCCCCUGCCACUCAGGAAGGGGGGUGGGGGGCGUCUCUCCUUGCAGAAUUAGAGGCGUCCUCUGCUGGGCCCUCUGGCUGUCCUGGGCCCCAUCCUCCAUCUGGCUCUGGCUUUUAGGGACAACUCAGGAGCGAGCAGGUUGCUCUGCAGGGUGGGUGUGGACAGGAGGACAGCUGGAAGGCUGUUGGUUCCUGGGGUGGGCCUGAGCAAGGCCUUGGGGAGAAGAGACCCCGAAAGGAGGAUAGGAGAGGCAGCCCCAAAGGUGGCUCUUUCCUGUUUGAGAUCUGUCCCCUUUAUCUGCCUGAGAUCCAUAAACCUGUGUCUGUGUCGUUCAGCACAGCUUCUCCCGGAAGGUUCCAGAUACAAGAUGGACACUCGGUGUAUCACAACUGCAUAAGUGAAGUCAAGGGCAAAGGGCUGAGCAGGUCAAUGAGUCAUUCAGCAGUGCCCCCCACAAAGUGAAAGGACCCUCCACCACCCCAUGGCUCCCUCCAAAUAGGACAACUUGACAUAUGAACUAUUUUUGGUUUGUUUGUUUGUUUGCCUUUUUGCCUUUUCUAGGGUCGCUCCCGCAGCAUAUGGAGGUUCCCACGCUAGGGGUCUAAUCAGAGCUGUAGCCACCAGCCUACACCAAAGCCACAGCAACGCGGGAUCCAAGCCGUGUCUGAGACCUACACCACAGCUCACAGCAACGCUGGAUCCUUAACCCACUGAGCGAGGCCAGGGAUUGAACCUGCAACCUCAUGGCUCCUAGUCGGAUUCCUUAACCACUGAGCCAUGAUGGGAACUCCACAUAUGAACUAUUUUAAGCUGAAGGAGUCUGAGAAGAGGGCAGAAGCAGGAAGGUGACUUGGAUUGUCCUCCUGAAACAUCUCCCCGGAUACAGGCCAUAAAACCCUCGAGUGGGGGGUGCCCUCCCUGUACCUGGAAGUUUGUCUUAGCUCUGAAGACAAGGGAGGCCAAGAAGAAUUCUAACACACAGGCUGAGUCUCCCCCGUUUAUGGCACCUCCCUUGUGUUCCCAAGGCUGGCAAAGCCCCACAACUGCCCUCUCUUCAGUCCCAGCAUAAAAAUAUCAGACCUAACAGCUUCUUUGGGUCCUUCUUUCCUUACAAAGCCCCUCGUGUCCCAUAAAACCGACAUGAAACAGACUGUGCAUGCCUCUCUCCUGCUCAUCUAUCUUUGGCAGUUUCAUUUUCAGACCCAGCCAGGGACCCCAAGAGGGUCCAGGGAAACUUUUCCUCCCUUGUAUAGGUCAGUGAGCAGAUGUCGCAGGGUUGCUCACACAGCUGUCUGCAAGGGCAGGCGGGAACGGCAGCAGGAGGAGGAGAGGGAGUCACAUUCCUUCUGGGUCCCCCAAGCCUGUCUCUGGAGACCCUCACUGGUUUUGAUAGGGAUGGAAUAGGCACAGGUAGUUGUAGGAGUCCUAGUAAGUGAUCUUAGAUAGAUAGGGGACUUUGGGCCAUCACUGCAAGUUAAUUGUUGCUCAAGGAGUUCCUGUCAUGGCUCAGAGGAAAUGAAUCUGACUAGCAUCCAUGAGGAUGCAGAUUUAAUCCCAGGCCUCGGUCAGUGGGUUGAGGAUCCAGUGUUGCCCUGAGCUGUGGUGUAGAUCGUUAACCCACUGAGCAAGGGCAGGGAUCGAACCUGCAACCUCAUGGUUCCUAGUCGGAUUCAUUAACCACUGCGCCAUGACGGGAACUCCCCAAGGAUGCUUUCUUGACUAGAUCUCCGGACAGACAACUCUUGGGAGAUGAUGGGGGCUGGUGCCAAGGCUGACCUCCUGGGGGAUGAUGGGAAUUUUAUAGAGAGACAAUCUCUAUAAACUCCUAUUUCACCUCCAUGCUCUGCAGGCUCUCCUCCCCGCCCUCCGCUAGCCCGUGUUCUCUACCCACCAGGCCUCGUGGCUAGAAACGCCUUCUCCUUAACUUUGAAAUUUUGGAUGCAACUCUUUCUUUCCCUAAUGUACUGUUAUUUUCAAAUCUCUCCAGAAAGCCUGUAGCCAGCCCCACUCGCCCCCACCUCUCUAGAACACAGAUCACUGCUAGGGUUGAUGGCUUGGGUGUAGCUUGGGCAAAGCUUCCAGAGUUUUGACCUAUCAGGACUGGCUCAUAUGGAAUCCCAUGUUGCUUACAAAGGAAGAGAGUGCUUAGGAAAUUCUGUGAAGCACUUUUUUUGCAGGGGGAAAUUGGUAAUCCACUAAAAGAACAAAUUAUUUCCAAGCACUCCAACACCAUUUAUAGUCCAAUGCUGUUUAUACAUGAGGCCCAUCUACUUUUUAUUUUUUUAAUAAUGAUUUUUAUUUUUCCAUUAUAGCGCCAAGUACUUUCUAAAGCAGACCCGGCCCUGCCUCUCCUAAGGAAGAUUUUGUUAGCUGUGAUUCUGAUUUAUUCGACAGGAUGGAGAGCAACGACUAUUUGGCUGGAGAUGUGUGAUGCCUGAGGCUCCCUAGACCUUAACUUGAAUUAGUCCAAACCAGUGGUUUCACUGAAUGCCUCUUUAGCAUGAAAGAUUCUGUGAAUAACCCCUUCACACCCCGGCCCGAUAACGGCUGCACAACUCGUGGUGGGGAUCAUGCACCCUGACAAUCUUUCAGGAAGGGACCCCAUGCUCUGAAGUGAGGUAAAUGCUGUUGUGUCUCUGUUUCUGUGAGGGGACCACUGACUGAAGUGGCCACCUUGGCCAAGCACAGCAAUAGCCACUUGCAUGACUUGUCUCACAGCAGGAGGUCCUGACCGGGAGCCUGGUGCUGCUCUGAAGACUAACUGGAGGGUUGGGGAGGGGCCCACAGGAGGGAGGAGACAGCCACCUUCCCGGGAUCCUUGGCGCUGGAAUCCAUCUUGGCUGAGAAGUGCGUGUGCUGCCAAGAAGGACACUGAGCCAGACCCAGACCAAGUAGGGACCAAGCAGGACGACUGGCCAGAGACCACCCGGAAACGGUCCCCAUUCCCAUAAAACCUGAGACUGUGAGCCACCCGGCAGAGCAGGUCUCCUGGGUUCCCUCACCCUGCUGUUCCCCCCGCACCGGUACCAGCGCCCCUUCCCAGUCAAGUCUCUUGUGUUGUGUCAGCACGGGUGUCUCCUCGGACAUUUCAUUUCGUGUGUUCGCCAAGAGCCCAUUCUCAGGCCCUGGAAAGGGUCCCCCUUCCUGCAACAUUUCCAGGAGGCGGAGUAAGCAUAGGUAAGUGUGUGGUGACCAGACACCACGCAGGCAGAAUGGAGCAUCUAUCCCCAGGAAGGGAGCGGGGCCUCCUGACCAGGGCUGAGAGGGUCUCUCUGUGUUGCACCCUCAGAAGAUGUCUGAGUCUUGUUAGUUCUUUCCCCGAAGCAGGACAGCCUAUGGCCCCCUCCAGGGGAACCCCCACCCCCAUUCUCUUCCCAGGUCCCACCUCAUUCCUGAAAUAGAGGUAGGCCAGCUUGCAGCGGUGGAGUUACUGGACAGCAGGCAGAGCUGACCAACAGUUUUCUGUGGCCAGAGACGACCAAAUACCAGCUCAACACCCAGCAGCAGGGAUUUCGGUAGGAAGGUGCUGUGGCUUCCUCCAUAAGGAAGAAAGACCUAUCAGACCCUUCUUUCCUUCUUCUAGGAUCUUUUAUAAAAAUAGAUGAAGCAGCAGAUAUGGGCUAACCAUCCUGUUGUUACCGCCCGGUGAUUUGGCACAGGUCACUUCUCCUCAGACGUAACGGGGAGUUAGACUCAAAGAAAGCUGGGUCGGUUUCUGGGCUGAAUGUUCUAUGACUUGCAGACAGUGGCUCAAAACUUGGGACCGUUCCAAGUCUGACUCAGAGCCUUGGAAUUAGCAUUGGUCCUUCGGAGGAGUGGGACAGACAGCUGGAAGAAUAUCUGGGAGCUUUUGAAGGACCUGAGCUCAAUCAGGUGCCUGAAGUGUCAGCCUCCUACUCACUCCCAGGGAUUUGAAUCCUCUGAAGGGACCGUUCAGGGGUCCUGUAAUCAAAUGCAAAUUACGCCUUUAAGCACUGAAGGGGUGGGAGGAGGGAUUAGCUGACAGCCCUGGGAGCGCUGCCUCAGGCCCUUGGGACUGACAGCCCCCCACCGGGGAAGGUCAGGAGGGAAAGAACAGAAAAGGGAGAGAGCUCACGAGGGGUCAGAGGCCUCCGGGGCCCCCACUUCAUCUCCAGUGUGCCCCUGAACACGGCCCUGGAUGGGGGGCUAAUCCCCAGGCUGCCUGCCCUCGGCAUUGUCUUGGUGGGGUCAAGACCCCCACCCCAUGCAUCCCUGGCUACACUUUUGGCCCACGGUGCUCCGUGCUAGCCCGAAACUCUCCAGGCCAGGCUGAGACCUGGACACAUCCCCUCUGUUCCUCUCCUUCCUCCCCAGGCUCAGAGAAGUUGGGACAGAAUGCAAGGAGCGGGCGGGGGUGGCUGAUGGGGCCAUAGCCCAGAGAAGGGCAGGCAGAGGGUGGCAGGGGCAGCUGGGAACCAGCGCCAACAAAGUAAACCAAACUCUCUCCCCCGUGCCCUUCCCAUUCUACCCCGCAACGCUUUCCAAUCAGGGAAUCUAAAAUUACCAUAUUUACAGCAUCUGCAGCCACGCCGAGCACUAAACAAGAUGAAUAGCCGUGACGCACGAACUGAGUACAAGUAUGCAGCUUGGCUGGGCUGGGCUGGGCUGGGCACCAGGGUGAGUGAGCCACAGGGGGAGCAUGGUGAGGUCCCAGGCAGGGUGAUGGACGGGACUCACCAGGCACUAAAGGGAGGUGGGAGAGCGGUGAGGAAGUCCUGGCAAUGUCCAUCUUCUAGGAAAACAGAGAGAUGGAGCAAUUAGCAAAGGAAGGGGGUAGAGAUAGAGAUAGAGCGAUAUAGUUGGAUGGAUGGAUGGAUGGAUGGAUGGUUGAAUGGAUAGACUAUGAGAAUAUGUGCUAACUUUAGAAGGCUCCCUUUCCUCCUACUGCCUCCCUACCUAAGAGGAAACUGUUGAGACCUCUAAGGCAGGAUCCCUUCGUGGGUGUGUGUGUGUGUGUGUUGCGAGGUCCUCUACCAGAAUCUUGCUUUGGACUCUUAGGUCUGUGAGUCCUCUUCCCCCAAGCAGCCUCUUCCAGGAAAGCUCUGGUCAACCACAAAAACUAAAUGACUCCAUUCAUAAAAAGGGCCUGACCGUCUGGCAAAGGCAAUGGAGCUCUGGGGGAGACCAAGAGGGGAAUGAUGGGCGUGUGCUCCAUGUGAGAGGUCCCAGCAGGCUCCCAGCCUAGCCUGUUCUUAAUCUGGAGGAAAGAUGUCCAGGUAAAGAGCGUACAGACUCAUAACUUGCAGAUGCUCGUUCAGAGACUUUCCAGACUGGGAGGGACCUCAAUACACCAGAGAGAGGGGAAGAGGUGGGUACCAGGCACUGAGGGGAGCAGGGCCAGCCAGGAACCAGCUCCAACAGAGUGAUCCACUCUCAGGCUUC